rnacentral:rRNA from 1 species
UAGGGAAUAUUGGGCAAUGGGCGAAAGCCUGACCCAGCCAUGCCGCGUGAGUGAUGAAGGCCUUCGGGUCGUAAAACUCUUUUCUGAGGGAAGAAAAGUUGAGGGAGGAAAUGCCCCCGACCUGACGGUACCUCAGGAAUAAGCAACGGCCAACUCCGUGCCAGCAGCCGCGGUAAUACGGAGGUUGCGAGCGUUGUUCGGAAUAACUGGGCGUAAAGGGAGCGCAGGCGGUCUGGUGUGUCCGGAGUGAAAGCCCGGGGCUGAACAUCGGAAGCGCUUUAGAUACUACCAGACUUGAGUACGGAAGAGGAGAGUGGAAGUGCAGGUGUAGCGGUGAAAUGCGUAGAUAUCUGGAGGAACACCGGUGGCGAAAGCGGCUCUCUGGUCCGAUACUGACGCUCAUGCUCGAAAGCGUGGGGAGCAAACG